AAGUCGGGCCUGCCCACUGAGUAAUAGAAGGGCCGCGUUAUUUAGACCGUGCAAAGGUAGCAUAAUCAAUAGUCUUUUAAUUGAAGGCUGGAAUGAAUGGUUUGACGAAUUAUUAACUGUCUCUUUAUAUUGUGUUGAAUUUAUCUUUAGAGUUAAUAGACUAAAAUAUUAUUAUGGGACGAGAAGACCCUAUAGAGCUUUAUAUAGUUAUAAGAUAAAUGUAUUUGAAGUUAGAUUUUAUGCUUUUUGUAACUGUAUUAUGUUGGGGAGACAUAAAGAUAUAAGAAACUCUUUAUUUAUAUUUACAUUUAUUUAUGGUUACAUGAUCCAGUAUUAUAGAUUGAAAGAUAAAGUUACCUUAGGGAUAACAGCGUUUCCACUUGAGAGUUCAUAUCGAAAGAGGAGUUUGCGACCUCGAUGUUGGACUAAGAAAAAGAUUAAAUGUAGCAGUUAUGUUAAUAAGUCUGUUCGACUUUAUAAUUCUUAC
rnacentral:rRNA from 1 species